GGUUGCCAAAUUGCACUUAAAAUCAGCCUCCUUUACUGUAAGGUAUUAUGGAGGAACCAGGUACUGAAGUAGAAUGUGGCAAGUCACAACUCAUACCAUUCUAGUUCGCGCUAAAAACAUUUCGUACACGUUCGGAGCUACACAUUGUUUCUAUGCCUUAACAGCCCUUCACCCUUCACCUCUCCUCUAUCACCCUCGCUAUCUCUUGUCCAGUCUCGUAAUCCGAAGCAACCCCGCGAAUCCACAUUCUCGGUCACAUUCGCUAGGACACGCUAGGACCGCAUGCGACGCGUUCCUCCCAGCCUCGUCUUCAAGUCGCUGCUCUUUCGUUUAUUUUCCGAAUUUUUCCGCCCGACCCCCGUCUUAUUUCCCCACGAAAAGUGACGCUCAGAGUUUCCCCUUUGUUUUCAGUCGGUGUUUUCCGUGUCGCUCUGCUACUCACUGCCCCGUAUUUGUUUGUUCUCAGUGUGUUCGCUCCAAGUGUUGUGAAAAGUGAUGCAAAUCGCCUAAUCUGUGUUAAUCCACCACUAGGUUUUCCUCUAGUCUGUAGAUCUCAUUCUUCCAUCCAGCCCAGCUCCAGGUCGUUUUUCGGACAAUGAGUGGAGAAGCGAACCGUCAAGGUCAGUCAAGCCAAGGUCAGUCAAGCCAAGGUCAGAGCCAAGCUAUCAGCCUGCCUAUCAUUGAUUUUAGCCUGUCACCUCUUUAUAUACGUAGUCCGCCGCCCGUUAGCCAGCCGCCGCCGCCCGUUAGCCAGCCGCCGCCGCCUCACCGUCCGCAGACCACGCAGCCCGUCAUGAGCAGUCACCCUCAUCAAAUGCCCCUUCCCCGUUACCUGCCGCCGCAUUGCCCAGCCCCUACAUUGGGAAGGGAUUAUUGGGUACGCCACCUCUUAAAAGUCUUUGAUGAUUCAAUAGCAGGGAAAUCCGACGAUGACAUCGCCAUUAUUUGUUGCGCUGCUGUUACGACAAUACUCAAGGAAGCGAAUCCAACGAAGCUAAAAAAAUUGUCCGACUCGGGUACAUCAGAUUCAGAAUCAAGUUCAGAUUCUGACGAUAGUUAAUUGUUCAAGGGAUAUUACAUUUUAUGUUUGACGACUAGUAUGCAAACGCUCUCUGAAGAUGACAAUCAAGCCAGAUCUAGAUGUCUGUCUUGUUCAGAAACAUCAUUAAUGUGUUCAAUCAUAAAAAUUGUCGCCUGUGGCUGAAGCUAGUGCUAGAAGUUUUUUAAUAAAAAAAUACUAGAAUUUUCUCAAAUACUUCGAAGGUCCUAGUUUUAUGACGUCAGAUUCAAGCAAUGUGCAAAACAUGUUUUUUUAGAAAUAGGAGGAGGUUUAUAAAUUCGCUGGAUAAAUUGAGAAUUUUGGUAGAAAGUCUCCUGGUGGCUCUUUUUAAAUGUUAUGUAGUCUGUUUCUUGAUACAGUUAAAGUUGAUACAGUUUAAAUUGGUUAUAUGUGGGUUGAGAUAAAUCCAGCAGAUAUGAGAAUCUGUGAGUGCACUACCUGUGUUUCCAGUAGAAAAUCACCUGUUCUGUCUCCAUAGUUUGGUAGAAAACAGAUCCGCCAUGUGCAAUCUAACAUUUCACCUGUCUACUCUAAAAAUUAUUUGUUUUUAAGAACUAUGAAUGAAAAUCAUAAACCAAAAUGAAAACCUCACUCAUUUGCCAUUUAUUUUUCAUUUUAAAAUUUGAUAGAACUUCAUGUUUCAUGUAGAACUUGUAUUUAAAGAAAGAUGUAUGAAGGUUUAAUAAUCUUGUGAAUGUUGUCCUUAAUUUUUAAACUUCAUUCCACGUGAAGUCGAAUGAUGUAUUAACCUCAGGAAUUCUCACAGGAACGAAAAAUUUGAUAGUGAUCAAAAUAUUUGUAAAUUUUAAUUUUUUUAUGGAUCUCAUUAUAAUUUUUAUUUUUGGUCUUAUAUGUCUAAAGGCUUUAGCAGGUAUGUGCCUUGAAGACUAACCAUGUACGCAUCUAUUUUUUUUAGGUUGAUCUAUCUUAAAUUGAUUUCUGGUUCAGGCGUAGCUGUUCAAGAAAAUGAAAGUUGUUUAAUCUGAUAUAAAAGUAAAAUCGACACUCUCUCUUUUCUUUAUCAAAUUACUUAUUUAAUCUAAUUUAAAAUUAAAAUGCGAGCUAGGAGCAGGAAAUUAAAGCCAUAUUUGAAAUCAAUUGAGCCUGUGAUUCAGGAGAAGUAAUAUUUUCUGAAGUGUGAUACACGGUUCCUUACCUCUAAAUUGAAAGCUUUUCUAUUAAUGGAACACUAGACAAGAGGCGAAUUUAAGAAUUAUGUUUAAUGUUACCGCCCACUCAAAAUUUCACGUAGAAACCGAUUUGUUCAUAAAAAACUUUUUCGAGAUAAUGCCAAACCUAGAUAUUUACGUUGUUUGGUGCGUAAAUUAAACUUUCCAUUCUUUAAAAAACCAUGAUCUUAUGAUCUUAAUUAAAUUGCACACUAAACAUCACUGUAAUUCUGUGUGGUUUGCGAAUCUAGUAACUUCAAUCCUAGAGCAUCAGCUCAGCUGUCGCACGUUGUCUGCAUUGUGAAUAACUCUGAGUGGGGAAGGAGCACUUCUCAAUUGAGAAGCCUGCCAAAACCGUUGUAGUGCUAGAUUUACACAGGCUUUGAGUUAUCUUGCGAGUAGAAAGAUAUUUUGUAAUCAGUUCUAUUUGAAAACAUUAAAUAUCAGGGUUAGAAGUCGGUCAAUUCUAGUAAUUCACGUUAAGCAAAUAUGUUCUACAUAGAAUUUUGAAGAGGUAACUUUCAUCAUAAUGCUUAAAUUUGGACCUAUUCCAGUGGUCCAUUUCUCAUUGACAGCACCAAUGGAAAAGUCGUACAUGUUAUCGCUCGCUUUUAUAUGAGCAACAGAUCUGUGAGUGAACAAUCUUCCCAAGAGCCGAGGAAGUUCCCACAAAGGAGACAUAUUUCUACUCUAAUCUUUGUCGUGUUACUUGAUAUAUGUUCCAUUUAAGUUUCUGUUUUCAGAAAGAAAUUUUAUUCUGCUCUAAGUACCUAGUUUAAGUACUUAUCAUAGUCAAGUAGGUCUGUAAGAACCAUCCCGGCCAUGUAUUUUGUGCUCAGGUCUCAUUUACCACUGUAAAUAUUGAAAAAUCUUAUUUUUAUACGACACCCAAUAAAUGUUCUUGGAUUUGUGAUUUUUCAAUUUUUCUAUUUCUUUCUUCACAAGCACAUCAUGCUGCAAUACACAACAAUGAUGGCUCACACAAUUAUUGCUCUAAGACAAUACAAUAACAUACAAAUUAA
rnacentral:lncRNA from 1 species